rnacentral:rRNA from 1 species
CAGUGGGGGACAACAGUUGGAAACGACUGCUAAUACCGCAUAAUGUUUCUGGACCGCAUGGAUCUGGAAACCAAAGCUUUAUGUGCUGAGAGAUGGCCUCGCGUCUGAUUAGCUAGUUGGUGGGGUAACGGCUCACCAAGGCGACGAUCAGUAGCCGGUCUGAGAGGAUGAACGGCCACAUUGGGACUGAGAUACGGCCCAGACUCCUACGGGAGGCAGCAGUGGGGAAUAUUGGGCAAUGGGGGAAACCCUGACCCAGCAACGCCGCGUGAAGGAAGAAGGCCUUCGGGUUGUAAACUUCUUUUACCAGGGACGAAGAACGUGACGGUACCUGGAGAAAAAGCAACGGCUAACUACGUG